CACUCGCACUCAUCGUGGUGCCAUCAGGUGAGCUGCGAGGCUGGCGUCCGGACAAGGGGGACGGCGUGGGGCCCGAGGUCGGGAGGGAGGAUGGCACGGGUCUUGGACGCUCGCUCAACAUGCAGAACGACGCCGGUGAGUUCGUGGACCUGUAUGCGCCGCGGAAAUGCUCCUCCAGCAACCGUAUCAUCGGCGCCAAGGACCACGCGUCCAUCCAGAUGAACGUGGCUGAGGUUGACAAGGUGACAGGCAGGUUCAACGGCCAGUUUAAAACCUACGCUAUCUGCGGGGCCAUUCGCAGGAUGGGUGAGUCAGAUGACUCCAUUCUCCGGCUGGCCAAGGCUGACGGCAUCGUCUCAAAGAACUUCUAACUGAAGAGGAUCCCGGAUAUGGAAUAUUUGUGAUAAAUAAAGUGAAAACCUAUUUGCUUCAAAAAAAAAAAAAAAA